rnacentral:rRNA from 1 species
AUUGAACGCUGGCGGCAGGCCUAACACAUGCAAGUCGAGCGAGCGGCGGACGGGUGAGUAAUGUCUGGGAAACUGCCUGAUGGAGGGGGAUAACUACUGGAAACGGUAGCUAAUACCGCAUACCAUCAGAUGUGCCCAGAUGGGAUUAGCUAGUAGGUGGGGUAACGGCUCACCUAGGCGCCGAUCCCUAGCUGGUCUGCGAGGAUGACCAGCAAACAGGGAACUGAGAAACGGUCCAGAUUCCUACGGGAGGAAGCAGUGGGGAAUAUUGCACAAUGGGCGCAAGCCUGAUGAAGCCAUGCCGCGUGUGUGAAGAAGGCCUUCGGGUUGUAAAGCACUUUCAGCGGGGAGGCGUUACCCGCAGAAGAAGCACCGGCUAACUCCGUGCCAGCAGCCGCGGUAAUAC